UACAGAGACUGCAAGCGUUAUUCGGAUUCACUGGGCGUAAAGGGUGCGCAGGCGGUUACGUGUGUUAGGUGUGAAAUCCCGAAGCUCAACUUCGGAACUGCGCCUAAACUACGCAACUAGAGCAUUGGAGAGGGUAGCGGAAUUCACGGUGUAGCAGUGAAAUGCGUAGAUAUCGUGAAGAACACCAGAAGCGAAGGCGGCUACCUGGACAAUUGCUGACGCUCAGGCACGAAAGCGUGGGGAGCAAAAGGG
rnacentral:rRNA from 1 species